GACAGAGGGUGCAAACGUUGUUCGGAAUUACUGGGCGUAAAGCGUGUGUAGGCGGUCUUGUAAGUCGGGUGUGAAAGCCCCGGGCUCAACCCGGGAAGUGCACUCGAAACUGCGAGGCUAGAGUACUGGAGAGGUUGGUGGAAUUCUCGGUGUAGAGGUGAAAUUCGUAGAUAUCGAGAGGAACACCGGUGGCGAAGGCGGCCAACUGGACAGAUACUGACGCUGAGACACGAAAGCGUGGGGAGCAAACAGG
rnacentral:rRNA from 1 species